rnacentral:lncRNA from 1 species
AAGAAUGAAUGUGGUCUAAUGAUUUUAGGCGCUCAUCUCAUCUGAUAUAAUUCUAUAUUCAUUGCAACUCUUUUUCUGAUAGAAAGCCACUGUGUGUGUGUAAUUCAAUAAUUGGCAUUGAAAUCUUUCAUACAUGUGUUAUUUUUUGAUAUUUUAUUCCGAAAAGAGAGUUGUGUACGGUAUUUAACUGAAAUAAAUCCUUCUGUACAGUGCAUAGUUAAGUUGAUGUACACCGUACACAAAAACUUUAUUUUCAUACUCAUUUAUCGUUAAUCACAGGUCGGUUUACGAUUUGUAGCUAUUACUUUUGCCUUGUAUUAGCUUUCUUUCAGAUAAGACAUGUAAAUGUCUCCACAACUGUAUCGAAAUUGAGAGUUGGUGUUGACAUUCACAACUAUUUGCGCAUGAACAAGUUAAUUGUUCUUAUUAGAAUAUCAAAGUUGUUUUAUAAAUAGGAAAACAUCGAUGCGAAAAUUAUUUGGGAGCAGGAAUUUCAAAUGUUGAG